GAUGAAGCCUUUCGGGGUGGAUUAGUGGCGAACGGGUGAGUAACACGUGGGCAAUCUGCCCUUCACUCUGGGACAAGCCCUGGAAACGGGGUCUAAUACCGGAUAACACUCUGUCCUGCAUGGGACGGGGUUGAAAGCUCCGGCGGUGAAGGAUGAGCCCGCGGCCUAUCAGCUUGUUGGUGGGGUAAUGGCCUACCAAGGCGACGACGGGUAGCCGGCCUGAGAGGGCGACCGGCCACACUGGGACUGAGACACGGCCCAGACUCCUACGGGAGGCAGCAGUGGGGAAUAUUGCACAAUGGGCGAAAGCCUGAUGCAGCGACGCCGCGUGAGGGAUGACGGCCUUCGGGUUGUAAACCUCUUUCAGCAGGGAAGAAGCGCAAGUGACGGUACCUGCAGAAGAAGCGCCGGCUAACUACGUGCCAGCAGCCGCGGUAAUACGUAGGGCGCAAGCGUUGUCCGGAAUUAUUGGGCGUAAAGAGCUCGUAGGCGGCUUGUCACGUCGGAUGUGAAAGCCCGGGGCUUAACCCCGGGUCUGCAUUCGAUACGGGCUAGCUAGAGUGUGGUAGGGGAGAUCGGAAUUCCUGGUGUAGCGGUGAAAUGCGCAGAUAUCAGGAGGAACACCGGUGGCGAAGGCGGAUCUCUGGGCCAUUACUGACGCUGAGGAGCGAAAGCGUGGGGAGCGAACAGGAUUAGAUACCCUGGUAGUCCACGCCGUAAACGUUGGGAACUAGGUGUUGGCGACAUUCCACGUCGUCGGUGCCGCAGCUAACGCAUUAAG
rnacentral:rRNA from 1 species